CCGCCUCCAUUGGAGGUCUAUAUUGAGCAGAUUCUUUUUGGUGUUGGGUGGUGGAACCGGAGCUUGCUCCAUCCACUCCAUGCAUUGACCUGGUAUUCCAGUGCUUCCAGGACCGGUGC
rnacentral:snRNA from 1 species